rnacentral:lncRNA from 1 species
UUUUUGGGGGAAUCAAUCGGAACUAGAAUAAAUUCCGAUUAUAGUACACAAGUUUCGAUUUUGUUUCUGGUGCUUCACUUCACAACCCUUAACUUCAUUACUUGUCUUGCAUUAUCGAAACUCGAAAGUGUUUUCAGCUUACAAACAAACCGAUAUACUCGCUAGUAAUCACGGAACCACAUCCGAUUUUUAAAAAAAUUAAGAAAAAAAGUAAAACGACGAGAUAAAAUUUUGCAUAUUCUACACAUUGGAGCAGAAAGAAUACAUAAUAUAAAUUAAAAAAAGAAUGUUUUAGCUAACUAUAUAUGGUCUUAUCAGAUUGCUCUCAAGAAUGUGAAAAUGUGCCUGUACAAUGUGGUGUUGAGCUUCAUUACAGUGCCUGUACACGAGAAACACGGUGUGUAAGUGUUUAUUCCGACGAAAAUAAUACGCGCAUUAAUAUAUUUUCAAUUUUUUACAUUUAAAAAAAAUUCACUUAGGCAAAGAGGGUGGUGCCCCUUUGUUCUUGAUUUCGUGACUAGACUCGUUCGGAUUUUUUUUCUUCUUCUUAUAUAUGCCGUGUCGCAUGAUCGAAAAACGCAAACUACUACAUUUUUUCAAGAUAUUAAGGC